UCAGCAUGCAGAUCCAUUUUCUGCCACCGAAUACAUUAGCAUGGGAUAAUGGAAUAGGACCCUGUCCUCCUAUUUUCAGUUGGUUUUGGCAGCGCGAGGACUAGGGUAAUGAUUAAUAGGGAUAGUUGGGGGCAUUAAUAUUUAAUUGUCAGAGGUGAAAUUCUUGGAUUUAUGAAAGAUUAACUUCUGCGAAAGCAUCUGCCAAGGAUGUUUUCAUUAAUCAAGAACGAAAGUUAGGGGAUCGAAGACGAUCAGAUACCGUCGUAGUCUUAACCAUAAACGAUGCCGACCAGCGAUUAGGAGACGUUGAAUACAAAACACCACCAUCGGCGCGGUCGUCCUUGGCGUCUGUCCCUUUCAACGGGGGCAGGCGCGAGGGCGGUUUAGCCCGGUGGCACCGGUGA
rnacentral:rRNA from 1 species